rnacentral:tRNA from 1 species
GCAGGGCUAGCCAAGCAGGUCAACGGCGCUGGACUCAAGAUCCAGUCCCGUAGGGGUUCAGGAGUUCGAAUCUCCUGCCCUGCACCA